AGUGAACGCUGGCGGUAGGCCUAACACAUGCAAGUCGAACGGCAGCACAGUAAGAGCUUGCUCUUACGGGUGGCGAGUGGCGGACGGGUGAGGAAUACAUCGGAAUCUACUUUUUCGUGGGGGAUAACGUAGGGAAACUUACGCUAAUACCGCAUACGACCUACGGGUGAAAGCAGGGGAUCUUCGGACCUUGCGCGAUUGAAUGAGCCGAUGUCGGAUUAGCUAGUUGGCGGGGUAAAGGCCCACCAAGGCGGCGAUCCGUAGCUGGUCUGAGAGGAUGGUCAGCCACACUGGAACUGAGACACGGUCCAGACUCCUACGGGAGGCAGCAGUGGGGAAUAUUGGACAAUGGGCGCAAGCCUGAUCCAGCCAUACCGCGUGGGUGAAGAAGGCCUUCGGGUUGUAAAGCCCUUUUGUUGGGAAAGAAAAGCAGCAGGUUAAUACCCCGCUGUUCUGACGGUACCCAAAGAAGAAGCACCGGCUAACUUCGUG
rnacentral:rRNA from 1 species